rnacentral:rRNA from 1 species
AGAGUUUGAUCCUGGCUCAGGAUGAACGCUAGCUACAGGCUUAACACAUGCAAGUCGAGGGGCAGCGGGAUUGAAGCUUGCUUCAAUUGCCGGCGACCGGCGCACGGGUGAGUAACGCGUAUCCAACCUUCCGUACACUCAGGGAUAGCCUUUCGAAAGAAAGAUUAAUACCUGAUGGUAUGAUGAGAUUGCAUGAUAGCAUCAUUAAAGAUUUAUCGGUGUACGAUGGGGAUGCGUUCCAUUAGGUAGUAGGCGGGGUAACGGCCCACCUAGCCAACGAUGGAUAGGGGUUCUGAGAGGAAGGUCCCCCACAUUGGAACUGAGACACGGUCCAAACUCCUACGGGAGGCAGCAGUGAGGAAUAUUGGUCAAUGGACGAGAGUCUGAACCAGCCAAGUAGCGUGAAGGAUGAAGGUCCUACGGAUUGUAAACUUCUUUUAUAAGGGAAUAAACCCUCCCACGUGUGGGAGCUUGUAUGUACCUUAUGAAUAAGCAUCGGCUAACUCCGUGCCAGCAGCCGCGGUAAUACGGAGGAUGCGAGCGUUAUCCGGAUUUAUUGGGUUUAAAGGGAGCGCAGACGGGUCGUUAAGUCAGCUGUGAAAGUUUGGGGCUCAACCUUAAAAUUGCAGUUGAUACUGGCGUCCUUGAGUGCGGUUGAGGUGUGCGGAAUUCGUGGUGUAGCGGUGAAAUGCUUAGAUAUCACGAAGAACUCCGAUUGCGAAGGCAGCACACUAAUCCGUAACUGACGUUCAUGCUCGAAAGUGUGGGUAUCAAACAGGAUUAGAUACCCUGGUAGUCCACACGGUAAACGAUGGAUACUCGCUGUUGGCGAUAUACUGUCAGCGGCUUAGCGAAAGCGUUAAGUAUCCCACCUGGGGAGUACGCCGGCAACGGUGAAACUCAAAUGAA